rnacentral:rRNA from 1 species
GACGAACCGUCCAAACGUUAUUCGGAAUCACUGGGCUUACAGAGUUCGUAGGCGGUCUGGAAAGUUGGGUGUGAAAUCCCUCGGCUCAACCGAGGAACUGCGCUCAAAACUACCCGACUCGAGGGAGAUAGAGGAAAGCGGAACUGAUGGUGGAGCGGUGAAAUGCGUUGAUAUCAUCAGGAACACCGGUGGCGAAGGCGGCUUUCCGGGUCUUACCUGACGCUGAGGAACGAAAGCUAGGGGAGCGAACGGG